AUCCAUCUGAUAAGUCUCAAAUAGGACGAAACCGACGUCCUAGAU
rfam:Schistosoma curassoni strain Dakar, Senegal genome assembly, scaffold: SCTD_scaffold0014161